rnacentral:lncRNA from 1 species
AAGCAUGGACUAUCUUAUAUUUACUUAGUGAUCAUGAAGAACAGUUGUACGAAUAUCAUACUUAAAAUCACAAAAAUUAAAUAUGAUUCAAAAGAAGAUAUCCAUUGAAAACAAUAAGUUCAUACAACCCCAAGAAUAUAAAAUAAAAUAUAAAAUCCGUGUCCCUUUGUUAGGGCUGCAUCCGGCCCUAGAGAGAAGAUCAGCCUUCCAUGGAGUCGUGGGCGAUAGCAGCGAUGUAGAGGACUCCCAUCACGGCUAUCUCCUUCCUUUCUGUGUCUUCUCCCUGCACUGGAUUCGGUGGGAACUUCCUUAGCAUUUCAUCUCUUUUCUUCCCAUAAUAUCCCAAACUAUUCUCUCACUCUUUAUUCAAUGGGAACUCCCUGAGAAGAGCGAUUGGGAUCAGCCGGCUCCCUCCCUCCGAAUCCUUCGUCUUCACUUCCUAACUCCUUUAUAUAGACUACUCCCCUCCCUCUCUCCUUCACGUCUUGGAUAGAGAUUGAACAGGGGAUGGCGUGGAUGGCAUAUCCGAACGCGAACAGAAGAAAAUCUGGGAAGAUGUUGGGAUACGCGGAUGUGGUUGAGGUGUGAAGAAGAUCUCGGAUGGCUGUAGGACGUUGCUGGAUUUGCUAGAUCUAUGGAUGUGAAGUGAUCUCAAAGGGGUUAUGGCUCUGAUCAGUGAUGACAUUGAAUCCUGGCUAGCCGUGGGAUAAGGAUGAAGAGCAAACGCGGAGAUGCACGGGAGAAACGGACGGCCAUGUGGGAUGUGCGAAAUGCUGGGAGGAUC